rnacentral:misc_RNA from 1 species
GAAAUGAGAUAAGUAAUGUGAAUUGCAGAAUUCAGUGAAUCAUCGAAUCUUUGAACGCACAUUGCGCCCGCCAGUAUUCUGGCGGGCAUGCCUGUUCGAGCGUCAUUUCAACCAUCAAGCCCCCGGCUUGUGUUGGGGACCUGCGGCUGCCCGCAGGCCCUGAAAAACAGUGGCGGGCUCGCUGUCACACCGAGCGUAGUAGCAUACAUUCUCGCUCAGGGCGUGCUGCGGGUUCCGGCCGUUAAACGACCUUCAUAACCCAAGGUUGACCUCGGAUCAGGUAGGAAGACCCGCUGAACUUAAGC